rnacentral:rRNA from 1 species
CCUACGGGGGGCAGCAGUGAGGAAUAUUGGUCAAUGGACGAAAGUCUGAACCAGCCAAGCAGCGUGAAGGAUGACUGCUCUAUGGGUUUUAAACUUCGUUUAUAUGGGAGAAAAACAGGGUAUGCAUACCCUCUUGUAUGUACCAUAUGAAUAAGGAUCGGCUAACUACGUGCCAGCAGCGCCGGUAAUACGGAGUAUACGAGCGUUAUCCGGAUUGAUUGGGUUUAAAGGGAGCGUAGGUGGAUGGUUAAGUCCGUUGUGAAAGCUUGCGGCUCAACCGUAAAAUUGCAGUUGAAACUGGCAGUCUUGAGUACAGUAGAGGUGAGCGGAAUUCGUGGUGUAGCGGUGAAAUGCUUAGAUAUCACGAAGAACUCCGAGUGCGAAGGCAGCUCACUGGACUGUAACUGACACUGAUGCUCGAAAGUGUGGGUAUCAAACAGGAUUAGAUACCCGAGUAGUC